rnacentral:rRNA from 1 species
CCUACGGGAGGCUGCAGUGGGGAAUAUUGGACAAUGGGGGCAACCCUGAUCCAGCCAUGCCGCGUGUGUGAAGAAGGCCUUCGGGUUGUAAAGCACUUUAAGUGGGGAGAAAGGCUCGGCAGCUAAUAUCUGCCGGGAUUGAUGCUACCCACAGAAUAAGCACCGGCUAACUCUGUGCCAGCAGCCGCGGUAAUACAGAGGGUGCAAGCGUUAAUCGGAAUUACUGGGCGUAAAGCGCGCGUAGGCGGCUGUCUAAGUCGGAUGUGAAAUCCCCG